UCAGGCCGGGCGGCCCCGCCACCGCGACGCCGAGCCCCUGACGUCACCCGAUUCGCCAGGAAAUGAACUUUUUAAUAAUCCGAGGAGGGAGGAAAGCCCUCGGUCCCCUCCGCUCCGGGGGCGCCCGGCUGGGCCCAGCUCCGCGGGCACGCCCCCGUCACCCCCUCCCCGGCCAGCUCAGGGCAGCGCCGACCGGGCGCGGGCUCAGGCUGGGGCUUCCUCCUGCUUCUGCGUCUGGCGUCCGUUUGUCUGUCCGAGUCCGAAGCGCAGCUUACGAUUCUUCAUCAACGCGUAAAAUGAGAUCGCCGCGGAACUCGAGCCUAUUUGGCGUCUCCGGAGCCUAGCAGGACCCUUUCAAAGACACCGCUGCCCGGGGAUAAUCCCCCGCGUCCGGCAAAGCUGCCCAGCUCGAGCGCGAACCCUGGGACCCAGCGCAGGAGGCAGACCCGCAGCUGUCCGCUGGGCUAUGAAGGCCAGGACCGAGCGGAAGCUUCCCGCCCGGCCGCGAUCUGCGCCGCGGCUCGCAGGGAAGUGGCUGCAUACUGCCCUCGGGAAAGCAGAUUAUCGGAGCCCUUUCAGAGAGCGCACAACAAAUGCGCCCGCCAUCGAAUGCAUCAUUUACCACCGCAGAUCCGCGCGCUGAUGGGCAGGCAGAUAGCCGUCCGCUGGGGGCACGCGGGCGCCCAGUGCCCGCACCACCCGCCUGCCUGCCAGGGCCACAGAGUGUGUGCCCCUGUGUGCCCGGCGUGUUUGGAUGGACACGUGGGUGUGCCAGGGCAUGGGCUAACGCUGAUGCGAGUGUGCGGGUGUGUCAAACAAGUGUGCCACAAAAAAGUGCACAUGUGCGAGUCCAUUCAUGCACAUGCAUGGCGGUCGUGUGUGUGCUGAGUGCCCGAAUGUACCCGAUGAGGCGGUUGGAGGGUGCACAGGAGGCAGCAGUGCACUGAGCAUGUGAGCAGGCAUGUGGCCCAGGGUGGCUGGACACGUGGUGGAGGAAUGGGAGUGCAAGCCCGCGUGUCCGAGUGCAGAGGAUGAGCGUCCUGCGAGUGCCUAACUGUGUUUGCCCUGGAGGUGGCUGUGUAUUUUAGGGGGGGGGGGGGCAUGCCAGAGGCCACUAGGGUCGAUGUGCGGUGUGCAUGCAGGUGCCCGCCCUGCGUUGUGUUUCAGGGCACACAAGCUUCCUGUGCCUUCUGGGGGUGAGCGUCCAGGUUUCAGUGCUCCCUCUGGGAGUGAACUUGUGGUGUGCUCGGGUCUGCGUGAGGCUGUGUGUCCUGCUGUAUCUCUGCCCAGGUGUGCCCAGGUGAGCUGCGUGAGGGGCACGGGGGAACGGCAGUAGUUGGGGCCUGUCCUUGUGCCAGCGUGAGUAGACUCUGGGCUGGGGAAGCGACAGGGAAUGGUGUGUGCGAGUGUGACAGACGCCAGAGCGGCGAGGUGGAACGUGCUGUGUCACAGGAGACUUUUUGGCAGAAAACGGAGUGGGCGAAUUUAGGAGGAGGGGCCGUCCGCGGAGUCUGGGGACACCCGGGGUCCGAGCCCCAGAGCCUCCCCGCCGGAGCUCUGCCGCUGGGGCAAGGAAGCCCGAACCCGCCGCCUGAGGUCCCCGCGCCGUGAGUGACACGCGCCGCCGACAAAGGCUGUAUUUUUCCAGGCUUGCGCCCCGCCCGCGUGCGCGCGAUGGUCCCCAUGGCGACGCAGAUAGCGCCGCAGCCAUUUUCCCUAUCUCCCCGGAGUCUAUUAUACUGCGGGAUUAGCUCAUCUCCAGGCAGGUCAAACCCAAAGUCACACAACCUGCGACGCAAGCCCCGCCUCCGCUCCCUGGCCGCCCCU